CACGUAGGCGGCAUCGCAAGUGUCGGGUGAAAUCCCACGGCUUACCCGUGGAACUGCCAGGCAGACUGCGAUGCUCGAGUGUGGUAGGGGAGAGCGGAACUCCUGGUGGAGCGGUGAAAUGCGUAGAUAUCAGGAGGAACACCGGUGGCGAAGGCGGCUCUCUGGUCCACAACUGACGCUGAGGUGCGAAAGCUAGGGGAGCAAACGGGAUUAGAUACCCCGGUAGUCCUAGCUGUAAACGAUGGGCACUAGCUUGGGGUCUCCCUGUGUGAUCCCAGGUGAAGUAAAAAUGAUAAGUGCCCCGCCUGGGGAGUAUGGUCGCAAGGCUGAA
rnacentral:rRNA from 1 species